GCUGUGUGCAGCUGAGACAGGCCCAGCAGAGGACAGCAGCGGCGACAUCACAAAGCUUCACCCAUGCUUGAAGUUGGCACUGGCGUGGAAGAUAUGGUUUCAGGAGAUUUCGGGAGAACCAGAGCACAGAAUGUGACCAGAGGAUCAGAAUGUGCACAUAGUGAGGAGGCGGAGGAGGCGUCUGGGCAUCACAUUCUGCAGAGAGAAGAUUUAGCUGGAC